CGCUAGCUACAGGCUUAACACAUGCAAGUCGAGGGGAAACGGCAUUUAGUGCUUGCACCGAAUGGACGUCGACCGGCGCACGGGUGAGUAACGCGUAUCCAACCUUCCCAUAACUAAGGAAUAACCUGCCGAAAGGCAGGCUAAUACCUUAUGUAAUCCUUUGAUGGCAUCAGAUAAGGAUAAAAGAUUUAUCGGUUAUGGAUGGGGAUGCGUCUGAUUAGCUUGUUGGCGGGGUAACGGCCCACCAAGGCAACGAUCAGUAGGGGUUCUGAGAGGAAGGUCCCCCACAUUGGAACUGAGACACGGUCCAAACUCCUACGGGAGGCAGCAGUGAGGAAUAUUGGUCAAUGGACGGAAGUCUGAACCAGCCAAGUAGCGUGCAGGAUGACGGCCCUAUGGGUUGUAAACUGCUUUUGUAUGGGGAUAAAGUCAAUCACGUGUGAUUGUUUGCAGGUACCAUACGAAUAAGGACCGGCUAAUUCCGUGCCAGCAGCCGCGGUAAUACGGAAGGUUCGGGCGUUAUCCGGAUUUAUUGGGUUUAAAGGGAGCGUACGCCGGAGAUUCAGGUGUUGUGAAAUGUAACGCUCAACGUCUGACUUGCAGCGCUACUGGGUUCCUUGA
rnacentral:rRNA from 1 species